rnacentral:rRNA from 1 species
AUUGAACGCUGGCGGCAUGCUUUACACAUGCAAGUCGAACGGCAGCACGGACUUCGGUCUGGUGGCGAGUGGCGGACGGGUGAGUAAUACAUCGGAACGUACCCAGUAAUGGGGGAUAACUAUCCGAAAGGAUAGCUAAUACCGCAUACGCCCUACGGGGGAAAGAAGGGGAUCGCAAGACCUCUUGUUAUUGGAGCGGCCGAUGGCUGAUUAGCUAGUUGGUGAGGUAAAGGCUCACCAAGGCGACGAUCAGUAGCGGGUCUUAGAGGACGAUCCGCCACACUGGAACUGAGACACGGUCCAGACUCCUACGGGAGGCAGCAGUGGGGAAUCUUGGACAAUGGGCGCAAGCCUGAUCCAGCAAUGCCGCGUGCGUGAAGAAGGCCUUCGGGUUGUAAAGCGCUUUUGUCAGGGAGCAAAUCCUUGUGGCUAAUACCCACCGGGGAUGAGAGUACCUGAAGAAUAAGGACCGGCUAACUACGUGCCAGCCGCCGCGGUAAGAC